CCUGUUCCAGAGCCAUUGCAAGUAUGACUGUUAUGUCACAUGUGCGUCAGUAGGUGGCAGAGAGAAGGGAGAGAAGUGUAUGUUGAGAGAAGUGUAUGUCUAUACUCCGUUAUGUCUGAUGAUUAGUAGCUUAAUACU